AACGCUGGCGGCGCGCUUAACACAUGCAAGUCGAGCGAGAACCGGGCCUUCGGGCCCGGGGAAAGCGGCGAACGGGUGAGUAACACGUGGGUAAUCUGCCCUCGGCAUCGGGAUAGCCCGGGGAAACCCGGAUUAAUACCGGAUAGCCUCCGAAGCUCUCGGGCGUCGGAGAAAAGGUAGCUUCGGCUUCCGGCUGAGGAUGAGCCCGCGGCGGAUUAGCUUGUUGGUGGGGUAACGGCCCACCAAGGCGACGAUCCGUAGCUGGUCUGAGAGGACGAUCAGCCACACUGGGACUGAGACACGGCCCAGACUCCUACGGGAGGCAGCAGUGGGGAAUCUUCCGCAAUGGACGAAAGUCUGACGGAGCGACACCGCGUGGAGGACGAAGGCCUUCGGGUUGUAAACUCCUUUUCCAGGGGAAGAAUAAGGGUAAGAGGAAAUGCUUAUCCGAUGACGGUACUCUGGGAAUAAGCCACGGCUAACUCUGUGCCAGCCGCCGCGGUAAAAC
rnacentral:rRNA from 1 species